rnacentral:rRNA from 1 species
GAUGAACGCUAGCGGGAGGCUUAACACAUGCAAGUCGAGGGGCAGCAUAGGGUAGCAAUACUCUGAUGGCGACCGGCAAACGGGUGAGUAACGCGUAUGCAACCUACCCUGUACAGGGGGAUAACCCGGAGAAAUUCGGACUAAUAUCCCGUAAUAAUAUCCGGAGGCAUCUUUGGAUAUUUAAAGUUCCGACGGUACGGGAUGGGCAUGCGUAACAUUAACUGGUUGGUAAGGUAACGGCUUACCAAGGCUAUGAUGUUUAGGGGUCCUGAGAGGGUGGUCCCCCACACUGGUACUGAGACACGGACCAGACUCCUACGGGAGGCAGCAGUGAGGAAUAUUGGUCAAUGGGCGCAAGCCUGAACCAGCCAUCCCGCGUGCAGGAAGACGGCCCUAUGGGUUGUAAACUGUCUUUUCCGAGGGAGAGAAACUUACGCACGUGUUGCGUGACUGACGGUACCCUGGGAAUAAGCAUCGGCUAACUCCGUGCCAGCAGCCGACGGUAAAACGUAGCGUG